rnacentral:rRNA from 1 species
UCGAGAAUCUUCGGCAAUGGGCGCAAGCCUGACCGAGCGACGCCGCGUGCGGGAUGAAGGCCUUCGGGUUGUAAACCGCUGUCAGUGGGGAGGAAUGGUACAGGGGCUAUCCCUUGUAUUUGACCUAUCCUCAGAGGAAGCACGGGCUAAGUUCGUGCCAGCAGCCGCGGUAACACGAACCGUGCUAACGUUGUUCGGAAUCACUGGGCUUAAAGGGCGCGUAGGCGGCGUGCUAAGUCAGUGGUGAAAUCCUACGGCUCAACCGUAGAACUGCCGCUGAUACUGGCGUGCUGGAGUGAGGUAGGGGUGUGUGGAACUUCCGGUGGAGCGGUGAAAUGCGUUGAUAUCGGAAGGAACGCCGGUGGCGAAAGCGACACACUGGACCUCAACUGACGCUGAGGCGCGAAAGCUAGGGUAGCGAACGGGAUUAGAUACCCCCGUAGUCC